rnacentral:lncRNA from 1 species
GUCCGAAUCAUGAGGCACUACAAACUAGAUGUGUUAAUUGUGUUCCUGCCAACAGGCUUCAUAUCUCAGAUAAAUUAUCCUUGACCCAAUCUUGGUGACAGCCUGAUCACUCCCCAUGUCCUGCCUGCUGCCUGGAAGCCUGGUUCACAGAAAAAUGUCCAUCCACAUUACCUGGGGUAAGAGCGCCUUCACCUGAAAGGCCUACUGCAACUUAAGGUUGCUUCAGACUGUAUUGUUGUUAUGGAAAAUUUACUUUGGGCUCAGAGAAGACACUACUGAAGUGGAGAUUUUGGUCACUAUGUGUGGGUGUGGCUGAUGAAACCAAUGAGAAGCAAACAAAGCCUUUCAAGUUGGUUGCCUAUAAAGACAGACCCCUGAGGACCUGUUGAAUGUAUUGCCCAUGAUAUUGCUCCUCAGGUACCUGGGCUCUUAGGAAGGGGGAGUGAAGCUUUUAAGGAAAUCUUCGAUCUUAGAUAAGGCCCGACAAAAGAAGCCUCCCUGCCCUGGUGGUCCCUGGGGGUGUGGCAAACCAGCAGCAGUGAUGAGACAGCUUCCUGUGCAGUGUCAGCUGGACAAUCAAACAGUGAGUAGCUGUUCUGUUCUCAGCUCCCAGUUCAGUUGGGCUGAGCAGCAGCAAGUCUCUGUCCGGAGUCAUCGGUCCAGAUUUUUUUCUCUUGAGGGAAUUGGUGCCAUGGGUGGCUGAGACCUCUGAUGCUCACUGAACAUUCCUGGAUUACCACUUCCACUGAUCCCCUCCAGCCACAAGCUCGGAUCCCUGCACCAAAUUGCCCCCAGAAUGUCUCAUCCAAGCAGGUAUUUGUCUACUUUCUCUCCCUUUUCCAGACUGACCUACAGUAACUGCCACCCCGAAAGACACCGCAUGUUUGUGUUUCUCAAAGAAUUUUUAAUUAUUCUGUCGGAAAAGUUUCGUACCAAUGCAGAAAUAGAAGCUUCAUAUUAUGAGAUUCUUUAUUUCUAAUGUUUACAGGAACUCCAGGUAGCCUGUUCAGAAAAAUCUUCUGUCUUUCAAUCCUUAAUUUAGAGUCCGUUCACUCAUCACCCAAUGAGAGCAGAUUAUGGGAAACGUUGACCCUAAGGAAGGCAUUGACUGCUUCAGUAGGCUCACAAAGCACAGUCUGGAAGUUCACUGCAGUGACUCUGGGAAUCUUCUGCCUUGCAUUACUGGCCACAGCGGGUUUCUUGGUGGCCCAAGUGAUCCAGGGACAAGAAGUUUCUAAAAACGGCUUUCCAAACCCAACUCCGAGCAACAUCAAAGAGACAGGAUGUGACUGGGGCUCUUGA